CGCCCUUCGCAAAGUUUUCUAAUGUAUGAAGGGUCCUGCCUGCCCGGUGACUUUUAGUUAAACGGCCGCGGUAUCUUGACCGUGCAAAGGUAGCAUAAUCAUUUGCCUCUUAAAUGGAGGCUGGUAUGAAUGGCAAGACGGAAUCUGACUGUCUCUUUUCUGGUGUAUUUGAAUUUGAUUUCUUU
rnacentral:rRNA from 1 species